GCCCGGAUGGCGGAAUUGGUAGACGCGCUGGUCUCAAAAACCAGUGGGCUUUGCCCUUGCCGGUUCGACCCCGGCUCCGGGUACCA
rnacentral:tRNA from 1 species